rnacentral:rRNA from 1 species
GAUGAACGCUGGCGGCGUGCCUAAUACAUGCAAGUCGAGCGAACAGAUAAGGAGCUUGCUCCUUUGAAGUUAGCGGCGGACGGGUGAGUAACACGUGGGUAACCUACCUAUAAGACUGGGAUAACUUCGGGAAACCGGAGCUAAUACCGGAUAACAUUUAGAACCGCAUGGUUCUAAAGUGAAAGAUGGUUUUGCUAUCACUUAUAGAUGGACCCGCGCCGUAUUAGCUAGGUGGUAAGGUAACGGCUUACCAAGGCGACGAUACGUAGCCGACCUGAGAGGAUGAUCAGGCACACUGGAACUGAGACACGGUCCAGGCUGCUAUGAGAGGCAGCCGUCGGGGAUAUUGGGCUAUGGGCGAACGCCUGAUACAGCAAUGCCGCGUGUGUUAAAAAGGUCUGCGGAUUGUAAAGCACUUUAAGUUGGGAGGAAGGGAAGUACGUUAAUCCCUUGAUGUUGUGACGUUAACAACAGAAUAAGCACCGGCUAACUUCGUG